rnacentral:tRNA from 1 species
GCUGUUGAAGCGUGAAUGGCUUACGCACCGCCCUCGUAACGCGGAGAAGUCAGUUCGAUUCUGACCUACAGCU